GACGAACGCUGGCGGCGUGCUUAACACAUGCAAGUCGAACGGAAAGGCCCUGCUUUUGUUGGGUUCUCGAUUGGCGAACGGGUGAGUGACACGUGAGUAACCUGCCCUUGACUUUGUGAUAACUUCAGGGAACUGGGGCUAAUACCGGAUAGGAUCUCCUGCUGCAUGGUGGUGGUUGGAAAGUUUCGGCGGUUGGGGAUGGACUCGCGGCUUAUCAGCUUGUUUGGGUGGUAGUGGCUUACCAGGGCUUUGACGGGUAGCCGGCCUGAGAGGGUUACCGGCCACAUUGGGACUGAGAUACGGACCAGACUCCUACGGGAGGCAGCAGUGGGGAAUAUUGCACAAUGGGCGGAAGCCUGAUGCAGCAACGCUGCGUGCGGGAUGACGGCUUUCGGGUUGUAAACCGAUUUCGCAUGUGACGAAGCGUGCGUGACGGUAAUGGGUAAAGAAGCACCGGCUAACUACGUG
rnacentral:rRNA from 1 species